UACGGAGGGUGCAAGCAUUAAUCGGAUUUAUUGGGCGUAAAGGGGGCGUAGGCGGAAAUGAAAGCCAGACGUGAAAUCCCGGGGCUCAACCCCGGAACUGCAUUUGGAACUCCAUUUCUAGAGGAUAGUCGGAGAAAACAGAACUCUGCAUGUAGCGGUGAAAUGCGUAGAUAUGCAGAAGAAUACCGGUGGCGAAGGCGGUUUUCUAGAUUAUUCCUGACGCUGAGGCCCGAAAGCGUGGGGAUCAAACAGG
rnacentral:rRNA from 1 species